rnacentral:rRNA from 1 species
UGUCAGCAGCCGCGGUAAUACGAAGGGGGCUAGCGUUGCUCGGAAUUACUGGGCGUAAAGGGCGCGUAGGCGGAUCGUUAAGUUAGAGGUGAAAGCCCAGGGCUCAACCUUGGAACUGCCUUUGAUACUGGCGAUCUGGAGUACGGGAGAGGUGUGUGGAACUCCGAGUGUAGAGGUGAAAUUCGUAGAUAUUCGGAAGAACACCAGUGGCGAAGGCGACACACUGGCCCGUUACUGACGCUGAGGCGCGAAAGCGUGGGGAGCAAACAGGAUUAGAUACCCUGGUAGUCCACGCCGUAAACGAUGAGUGCUAGUUGUCGGCAUGCAUGCAUGUCGGUGACGCAGCUAACGCAUUAAGCACUCCGCCUGGGGAGUACGGUCGCAAGAUUAAAACUUAAAUAAAUUGACGG